rnacentral:hammerhead_ribozyme from 1 species
AUCCAGCUGACGAGUCCCAAAUGAGACGAAACGCGCGUCCUGGAC